rnacentral:lncRNA from 1 species
GUGAAAGUCGGUCAGAAAGUCAGGUAGUUCAGAGGAAGUCAGGCAACACAAACCAAGGCAAUGGAAGGAUGAUGCAGCAAGAAUGCCAUCAACUAACCACCAUUUUUAAACUAACAAAAUUUUCGGUGAUUGAAAUAGAGGCAGAAAAAUUGUUUGGCAGGAGGAAUUCUCCGUGAAAGAUAAGCAGGCAGUAAUCAAGGUCAAUCGCAAGUGUGGCAUGGGUAAAAGGCAAGGAAAUAAGGAGCGGCAUGAAGAGAUGUUGAAGUCAGGAGUCCGCCUGAAAAACAGAUGAGUACAUUUCAGUAUUUCAAUGUUAAGUGUUAUGUUUCAAUUUCAUCGCAUUUCGAGUUUUAGUUUCAAUUCAAGUCUUAGUUUCAUCACAAUUCAGUUUUAGUACGCGGUAACAAGCCCCAGUUUUCCCAAACUGGGGCAGAAAAU